UUGUUGACGACGUGAGCGGGCA
rnacentral:misc_RNA from 1 species